AGAGACCUAUUGGUGGAGAGUACAUGUGUGUGUGAUUGUGGUUUCUCAGCAAAACGCUGGUUUAUUGAUAUUGCGAUGUUUCCUGCCUAUUUUAAGACGAUGCAUGUGUACUAGCUGAGUUUUUGUUUAACAUGUUCUUAUCUUUUUGCUCAUGUUCCAGGUCACUGAAUGGCACAAGCUCCAGCACCACCCAUCUCCAAUGAUCACCUGAGACAAGAAAACACUAAAAGAUCCAAACGAAGAGGAUGAAUGUACAACGGUGUGUGGUAAUAAAAGUAAUCCAAUCACAUAAAAGACUAGUGCAAAAGCACUUUCAUCCCCCCAUUCUGUACAAGAGGGCAACAGGGUCUGGAGAAGAGAGGCUAUUACCUGUACGUGGUGCAUCCGACAUCACGGACACCGAUGUUCUUCUUCCAUUCAUCUGGAGUGGCUCACUUUCCAUAGCAAUUACUGGCCGUGAGAUCAAAACUGGACCAUCAGGGGGAAUUGCGAGUCCUCUGGCAGACUGUUGCAUGCGUGUGAAUAGACUGGCCGAUGGUACUUGGCCAUUGAGUGCACUGGCAGAGUGACUCGCAGAGGAAAUUGGUAAACUGACCGACUGAUUACACAUGAAAAAACUGUGGCCGACUGUUACGAACAUCCAUAGGCUUUAAGGUCAUGUAAAUUUGACAAUAAUAGUACAGUAUUAUUCAGGUGCUAUAAAUUUUACUUUAUUAUAUCCUGUAUACAGGCUAGUAUGUAGUAUAUUGUAUUUAGUAAACUCAUUGUGUCUGUUUGUGGUGGUCCACUCUGGAGCUGGUGCAGCAGGCCCUGUCAUCUGCAGGCCAUCUCACAAUGAAGGCCAGCAGAGCUCACUGUCAUAUUACUCCAAGAUCAUUAGCCUUGUGACACAUUCAGCUGUUUCCUCUGCUACAAUUAAAGGGAUACUCCACCCCAAAAUGAAAAUUUUGUCAUUAAUCACUUACCCCAUGUCAUUCCAAACCCGUAAAAUAUUUGUUUGUCUUCGGAACACAAUUUAAUAUAUUUUGGAUUAACUGGAUUAAUGACAAAAAUUUCAUUUUGGGGUGGAGUAUCCCUUUAAGAAAAACAAAAGCUACAGAGAGAGGAAAAACAGAAAGAAGGUGUAAUUAUUCAUGAGACUUUAGCAAUGUCUAUUUCACAAAUGAUUGCUUUUAAAUGGGUGCAGUAUCUAAAUAUAACCACAUUUGGUAUGUUUUAAUGAAGUCGUCUUGUCACAGCACCUUACAUAACCCUAUGCACUAUGUAUAAUGAAAACAUGGAAUUAGAUUUGAUCGUUCAGACUGAGACGCCGUGGUAAAAAUCUGAUUUUAAUCCAGUUCAAAUCGUGUGUGUGUGUGUGUUUAUUUUAUUUUUUUCUUGUGAGACUUUUAAAAAAGUUUGAUUUGAAAACAAAUUUUGGCAAAAGUAUGCCAAAAUCUAGCUGUCUCUAGCUGUGUCUAGUUUCUAUACCCUCUUCACAAUCGGG
ensembl:lncRNA